UAAAAUUCCAGUUUUGCCAUUUAACGUACAUAAAAUAACAUAAUAUACAGGGUGGUUGAUAACUGGUGGUACAAGCGGAAAGGGAGUGAUUCUACGCGAAAAAAGAAGUCGAAAAUAUAGAAUAAAAAUUUUUCGUUCGAGGCUUUGUUUUCGAGAAAAUCGACUUUGAACUUUCGCUCGGUACGCGUGCGGUACGUUAUAACGGAUCUCACUGUAGAUCGUUGUCUCGAUGGACAAAUUAAAAAAAAGAAAGGAAAAGAAUCACCUUUCCGCUUGUACCACCAGUUAUCAACCACCCUGUAUAAUAUAAAUUAAUAUAAUAGAUAAAUAUAAUAAGUAAGAUAUAUACGGAAAUUUACAUUAAUUAAUGUAUAUUAAUUUGGUAGUAUACUAUUUUAUAAUAGUAACGUAUAUUGAUUUUAUUUUUUAUGCAACCAUUCGAUAAUUUUAUCGGUAGUUUUGAUAUUUGGUUAAAAAUAAAUAUUUAUAAACUAUCAGAAAAUAAAUGCAUUUACGCAUGUUAUCCAUAGAUAUACAGGGUGAACCAUGUAAUUGGGUUCGAUUUCAUUGAUAAACAGGUAAUAUCUACGAACAUAGGUCAUGUCAUUCCAUUGUACUUCUUCUUCAGCGAAAUUGAAACUAUAGCCCGACCCAGCUGCGUGGCCCACCCUGUAUACGUUCACUUGUUCAAUUUUCAUUUCAUGUGCAACGUUAUAAGCUCGUUUAUUCGAUUUUUAUUGCAAUACGCUUUAAUCAGAAAUUUUACAAAAAUCUCCAAUUAUCACAAUUCUUCUAACGGGGUUCUGUCAUUUUAGAAAAUUGUUCGAACGUUUGAAAACGUAGUAAUACACAGGGACAAACUCAGAUAUAAAACAGUAGCAAAAGUUCAUAUUUUAAUUCAGUUGGUCUUUCUUCGUUACGAUACUAUUCAGUCAGUGUCAUUGUUCUUCUUUUCUAUUUUCUACUAAUCGUAAAUCUUGACAUGUCUUACGGUUAAAUUCGAUCAUCUGAUAACCUUUGUCUCUACUUUUCUACAAUUAUCCAAUCAUUCACAGAAUCAUCACAGACAGGUACGCAGAUAACGCGAGUGAGUUACGACUUCUCGGUAUACGUGGGCGUUCUAUAAAUAUCUUUGGAACGAAUCGCGUACAUUGAAACAACAGACUGGCGGAAACGAAUUCACACCCUAUGCGAACAUUCCAACAUUCCCAGCUUCCUCGUCUUGCACAAUUUCGGCAUUUACGACUUGCAUCAAUCUCUAUUUGACCAUUACGUGGGAUACUAAUUUUGGUUGCUCGAAGAAAAACUAACGAGCCAUUAGACGCUAUAUUAUAAUCACGUAGAAGGUCACAAGCUGUUAGAAUUUUUACCAUUUUUACUAUCAUGCAUGACUAGUGACUUCAUUUAUGUAGCAUGAACAAAAAUAAUUUGAUAUGAUAAUAAAUAACGUUUGUUGUAACGUCGAGAGAGUAAAUUCCAGUUUGUUCGUACUUCGUAUAAUUGUUGGAAGUUCGUGCGCGUAAAUUUUUAUGAAAAUGGAUAAACAUUUUAUAGCAAAAAUUGGUAACUUUCAUUACAUUUUUUGAACGAACGAAUUCUUUAAAAUAUUAUUUACGCAGCCUAAAUUUUUACGUUCGAAUCAUUUCUCUAAAUCUGACAAUUUCUCAGAUAUUCCGUCAGAUAUGUUUCAAACCCCCAAAUUUGUCGCCUGUUUUCGUCAAAACUAUGGUCUACGAAUUACAAGUUUGCAAUGUAACAAAUUAAUAUUUAAGGAUCGACUUUUCAUAUUUUUCAACGUUGGUUACGUCAUCGUCAACAAUUAGAAGCUUCGAGAUUUACAGAUUUCUCUGCUAAAGUGAACUUUGCUCGGAGUUUUCUUAAAUUAAAAGUUUCGUCACUCGUGCCAUUUGUCCCCUGAACUUCUGAUUUAAAAGAAAACACAGACGAAUCGACUGCCAGCGAGAAAGCGAAGAGGAACACUUUCUAACGAAACGAGGUCGGUUUUGCAAUAUCCAAAUGCCAAUUUGUGUGUCUUGUCAGGGCGAUGGCCGAAGUCCAAUCGGACCCUCGUAUUCGUCUAUCUUUUAUUUCUUCACCGUCUGAACAAAACGAUCGACUGUCAUUUGCAAGCGAGCUCGAUUCGUGAUCACUAGUCAUAGCGAAAAAAUUUUUCUUUGCGCAAUAUGUACGCAUAUUGAAAAGCGCAACCCUUUGCAAGCUCGGGGCGCGUGCAUAGACGCCUCCUCGACGACGACGCGGUCAAACGCGCGCGCUCAAACUCGAUGACGCAAUAUCUAUUUUGCCUAACCGUGAAACAGAUUACGCGUUCCGCAAUAUCGAUCGAUCUUAUCGUCGUUUAUGUUUCAAAAGCUGCAAGAACUUAACGUGAAAACAAAUAGAACGGAAAACCGACGGAAUUUUCACAGAAAAUAGCACGAACUUUUUGCAAUAUUAUGCGAUCGGAGGACAAUUCGUGAAAUUGGGAAAAAUUUAACGUGGUUGUUUGGUGUUUGCGUAGCUUUUACGGAAACAGCUAUGAAUUCUCGAGAAGAAAGGUUAUUUAUUUAUCUAGGUAUAACAAUUAUCUAAUAUGUAACACAUUGGUGCCAAAGAGAAGAGAAGAAACACCGAAUUCUAAUAAAUUAUUUGCAAUUGUGUCAAGUAAUUAUAAUGUAAAUUCUAAGGUAACAUAAAGAUUCACACUAAACUAAGUAAAAGUAAAAUAAAAAAACUAAGUAAAAUAAAACUAAGUAAAGACUAAGUAAAAUAAAAAAACAUAGACGUUCGAAACAUUAAAUAUAAAGCUUAAAGUUCA